CCUACGGGUGGCAGCAGUAGGGAAUAUUGGUCAAUGGACGCAAGUCUGAACCAGCCAUGCCGCGUGCAGGAAGACGGCCCUAUGAGUUGUAAACUGCUUUUGUAUGAGGGUAAACGCAUAUACGCGUAUCUGUCUGAAAGUAUCGUACGAAUAAGGAUCGGCUAACUCCGUGCCAGCAGCCGCGGUAAUACGGAGGAUUCAAGCGUUAUCCGGAUUUAUUGGGUUUAAAGGGUGCGUAGGCGGUCGGUUAAGUUAGAGGUGAAAUCCAGAGGCUCAACAUCGGAAUUGCCGUUGAUACUGGUCGGCUAGAGAGUAGUUGCGGUAGGCGGAAUGUAUGGUGUAGCGGUGAAAUGCUUAGAGAUCAUACAGAACACCGAUUGCGAAGGCAGCUUAC
rnacentral:rRNA from 1 species